GCUCAGUGAUGAUAAAAUCAAGGCUUGUUUCUCAAAACACCCGCAGUUGCUGCCUAAGAGUUUUCGCCCAACCUAGCUUGAGAGCUACUGCUGUUAGAUCCUUCCUUGGAUGUCUAAUGGC